rnacentral:rRNA from 1 species
GACGAACGCUUUCGGCGUGCUUAACACAUGCAAGUCGAACGGAAAGGCCCUGCUUUUGUGGGGUGCUCGAGUGGCGAACGGGUGAGUAACACGUGAGUAACCUGCCCUUGACUUUGGGAUAACUUCAGGAAACUGGGGCUAAUACCGGAUAGGAGCUCCUGCUGCAUGGUGGGGGUUGGAAAGUUUCGGCGGUUGGGGAUGGACUCGCGGCUUAUCAGCUUGUUGGUGGGGUAGUGGCUUACCAAGGCUUUGACGGGUAGCCGGCCUGAGAGGGUGACCGGCCACAUUGGGACUGAGAUACGGCCCAGACUCCUACGGGAGGCAGCAGUGGGGAAUAUUGCACAAUGGGCGGAAGCCUGAUGCAGCAACGCCGCGUGCGGGAUGACGGCCUUCGGGUUGUAAACCGCUUUCGCCUGUGACGAAGCGUGAGUGACGGUAAUGGGUAAAGAAGCACCGGCUAACUACGUGCCAGCAGCCGCGGUGAUACGUAGGGUGCGAGCGUUGUCCGGAUUUAUUGGGCGUAAAGGGCUCGUAGGUGGUUGAUCGCGUCGGAAGUGUAAUCUUGGGGCUUAACCCUGAGCGUGCUUUCGAUACGGGUUGACUUGAGGAAGGUAGGGGAGAAUGGAAUUCCUGGUGGAGCGGUGGAAUGCGCAGAUAUCAGGAGGAACACCAGUGGCGAAGGCGGUUCUCUGGGCCUUUCCUGACGCUGAGGAGCGAAAGCGUGGGGAGCGAACAGGCUUAGAUACCCUGGUAAUCCACGCUGUAAACGGUGGGUACUAGGUGUGGGGUCCAUUCCACGGGUUCCGUGCCGUAGCUAACGCUUUAAGUACCCCGCCUGGGGAGUACGGCCGCAAGGCUAAAACUCAAAGGAAUUGACGGGGCCCCGCACAAGCGGCGGAGCAUGCGGAUUAAUUCGAUGCAACGCGUAGAACCUUACCUGGGUUUGACAUGGAUCGGGAGUGCUCAGAGAUGGGUGUGCCUCUUUUGGGGUCGGUUCACAGGUGGUGCAUGGCUGUCGUCAGCUCGUGUCGUGAGAUGUUGGGUUAAGUCCCGCAACGAGCGCAACCCUUGUUCACUGUUGCCAGCACGUUAUGGUGGGGACUCAGUGGAGACCGCCGGGGUCAACUCGGAGGAAGGUGGGGAUGACGUCAAGUCAUCAUGCCCCUUAUGUCCAGGGCUUCACGCAUGCUACAAUGGCUGGUACAGAGAGUGGCGAGCCUGUGAGGGUGAGCGAAUCUCGGAAAGCCGGUCUCAGUUCGGAUUGGGGUCUGCAACUCGACCUCAUGAAGUCGGAGUCGCUAGUAAUCGCAGAUCAGCAACGCUGCGGUGAAUACGUUCCCGGGGCU